rnacentral:rRNA from 1 species
UGGGGAAUUUUGGACAAUGGGCGAAACCCUGAUCCAGCAAUGCCGCGUGUGUGAAGAAGGCCUUCGGGUUGUAAAGCACUUUUGUCCGGAAAGAAAUGGCUCUGGUUAAUACCUGGGGUCGAUGACGGUACCGGAAGAAUAAGGACCGGCUAACUACGUGCCAGCAGCCGCGGUAAUACGUAGGGUCCAAGCGUUAAUCGGAAUUACUGGGCGUAAAGCGUGCGCAGGCGGUUGUGCAAGACCGAUGUGAAAUCCCCGAGCUUAACUUGGGAAUUGCAUUGGGGACUGCAGGGCUAGAGUGUGUCAGAGGGGGGGAGAAUUCCACGGGUAGGAGGGAAAUGCGUAGAGAUGUGGAGGAAUUCCGAUGGCGAAGGCAGCCCCCUGGGAUAACACUGACGCUCAUGCACGAAAGCGUGGGGAGCAAACAG